AUUGAACGCUGGCGGCAGGCCUAACACAUGCAAGUCGAACGAGUGGCGGACGGGUGAGUAAUGUCUGGGAAACUGCCUGAUGGAGGGGGAUGACUACUGGAAACGGUAGCUGAUACCGCAUACCAUCGGAUGUGCCCCUAUGGGAUUAGCUAGUAGGUGGGGUAACGGCCCACCUAGGCGACGAGCCCUAGCUGGUCGGAGAGGAGGACCAGCGACACUGGAACUGAGACAGGGUCCAGACUCCUACGGGAGGCAGCAGUGGGGAAUAUUGCACAAUGGGCGCAAGCCUGAUGCAGCCAUGCCGCGUGUAUGAAGAAGGCCUUCGGGUUGUAAAGUACUUUCAGCGGGGAGGCGUUACUCGCAGAAGAAGCACCGGCUAACUCCGUGCCAGCAGCCGCGGUAAUUC
rnacentral:rRNA from 1 species